rnacentral:rRNA from 1 species
UUCCUACGGGACGCAGCAGUGGGGAAUAUUGGGCAAUGGGCGCAAGCCUGACCCAGCAACGCCGCGUGAAGGAAGAAGGCUUUCGGGUUGUAAACUUCUUUUAAGAGGGAGGAGCAGAAGACGGUACCUCUUGAAUAAGCCACGGCUAACUACGUGCCAGCAGCCGCGGUAAUACGUAGGAUGCGAGCGUUAUCCGGAUUUAUUGGGUUUAAAGGGUGCGUAGGCGGAAUGCCAAGUCAGCGGUAAAAUCGCGGGGCUCAACCUCGCUCCGCCGUUGAAACUGGCGUUCUUGAGUGGGCGAGAAG